rnacentral:snoRNA from 1 species
CUUCAGUGAUGAUGAGUCGGAACGGGACACAGUCUCUCUGGGUUCACUGGGUCAGGCUCAGGUUCUGUGUCUCUGGGUUGUUACUUCAGUUCCCCAGAGCAGCGUGUCUUUCAGUUGAAGACAUUGAGGCAUUUGUCUGAGGGGG